GGCGGCAGGCCUCAAACAUGCAAGUCUAGGGGGUGUAGCAAUACAUCACCGGCGGACGGGUGCGUAACACGUGGGAAUGUACCUAUUGGUUCGGAACAACGCAGGGAAACUUGCGCUAAUACCGAAUGUGCCCUUCGGGGGAAAGAUUUAUCGCCAAUGGAUCAGCCCGCGUUCGAUUAGCUAGUUGGUGAGGUAACGGCUCACCAAGGCGACGAUCGAUAGCUGUUCUGAGAGGAAGAUCAGCCACACUGGGACUGAGACACGGCCCAGACUCCUACGGGAGGCAGCAGUUGGGAAUCUUGGACAAUGGGGGAAACCCUGAUCCAGCCAUGCCGCGUGAGUGAUGAAGGCCUUCGGGUUGUAAAACUCUUUCGACGGGGACGAUAAUGACGGUACCCGUAGAAGAAGCUCCGGCUAACUUCGUGCCAGCAGCCGCGGUAAUACGAAGGGGGCUAGCGUUGUUCGGAAUUACUGGGCGUAAAGCGCGCGCAGGCGGUUUUUCAAGUCAGUGGUGAA
rnacentral:rRNA from 1 species